GAAGGAAGGGUCAGCUUUCCCACCUUCUCUCUGUCUGCUGUGUGGCACUAGCCAUUUCCCAUCAAAGCUUCUCACAACAACUCGCUUCUAUUUUGUAAUUAAAAAAAGACAAAAGAAAAAGAAAAAUCAGUAGGCCGACCUGGCUGAUAAAACCGGUUUUCAUACAGCCUGUGUAUUUUGGGUGGUCUACAAGGAACCCUUGAAGGCAGAAAUUGCACCUUGGGAAUGUGGCUUUUUGGAAAUGUGUCUGCAUCAGGCCUCUUGGGAUUGUGACACAGAGGGAUUUGCAAGGUUUGCACUUUUCAUUCAUUAGAGCAGAGUUGCUGCCAAACUUCCCUUCCUGUUAGUCACACAGGGAGGAGGGGUCACUGCAGUGGGAUGCUUGUAAAUUACUCUACAGCUCAGCAGCCAAAGGAUAAUACCCAGGGAAACACAAAUCUUGGCUUGAGCCUUGUGAAUAAUUUGUGAGAAACUCAAAUGUUUACUGAGGAAUGAAAGACAGAGCCUAUCUUUAAACUCAGUGAGCUGAGCCUGCCUGCCCUUUAUCAAAACCAGUGUGAGGAAGCCAGAAUUAGCUGGCUGUAAAUAAUCUAUUUUUGUAGGAAUUUAUUGAAGACAUGGUUUCAUGUGGUUCAGGCUGGCCUUAAUUCUUGAAGCUGGGGCUGGUCUCAAAUUCUUGAGUCCUGAUACUUGUGCUUAUAACUUCCUUCCAAGUGCUGGGAGUGUGCUCAGGUGGCCCCAGUGCUGAGAAGGCAGAGACAGGAGGGUCUCAGGGCCUUGCUGGCCAGCUAAGUCUUUGAGCUCUAGGUUCAGUGAGAAACCACCCAUGUCUCAAAAAAUAACAUGGGUCAAUUGAAAAAGAUGCCUGUGGUGCUCGCUCUCUUACUCUCUCUCUCUCUUUCCCUCUCUCUACACACACACAAAUACACACACACACACACUUUCCCAACACUCCCUUUCCCACAGAGACAGACACACACUUUCACACUCACCCUUUUC
rnacentral:lncRNA from 1 species